rnacentral:rRNA from 1 species
GAUGAACGCUGGCUACAGGCUUAACACAUGCAAGUCGAGGGGAAACGCCGGGGAAGCUUGCUUCCCCGGGCGUCGACCGGCGCACGGGUGAGUAACGCGUAUCCAACCUGCCUCUGACUGAGGGAUAACCCGUCGAAAGUCGGCCUAAUACCUCAUGGCAUCGUCUGCGGGCAUCCAACGACGAUUAAAGAUUUCAUCGGUCAGGGAUGGGGAUGCGUCUGAUUAGCUAGUUGGCGGGGUAACGGCCCACCAAGGCGACGAUCAGUAGGGGUUCUGAGAGGAAGGUCCCCCACAUGGGAACUGAGACACGGGCCAAACUCCUACGGGAGGCAGCAGUGAGGAAUAUUGGUCAAUGGGCGAGAGCCUGAACCAGCCAAGUAGCGUGCAGGAUGACGGCCCUAGGGGUGGUAAACUGCUUUUAGGCGGGGAUAAAGUGAGGGACGUGUCCUUCAUUGCAGGUACCGCAUGAAUAAGGACCGGCUAAUUCCGUG